rnacentral:rRNA from 1 species
ACCCGCACAAGCGGUGGAUGAUGUGGCUUAAUUCGAUGCAACGCGAAAACCUUACCCACCUUUGACAUGGCAGGAAUCCUAAAGAGAUUUGGGAGUGCUCGAAAGAGAACCUGCACACAGGUGCUGCAUGGCUGUCGUCAGCUCGUGUCGUGAGAUGUCGGGUUAAGUCCCGCAACGAGCGCAACCCUUGCCAUUAGUUGCUACGAAGGGGCACUCUAAUGGGACUGCCGGUGACAAACCGGAGGAAGGUGGGGAUGACGUCAAGUCCUCAUGGCCCUUAUGGGUAGGGCUUCACACGUCAUACAAUGGUCGGUACAGAGGGUUGCCAAGCCGCGAGGGGGAGCUAAUCCCACAAAGCCGAUCGUAGUCCGGAUCGCAGUCUGCAACUCGACUGCGUGAAGUCGGAAUCGCUAGUAAUCGUGGAUCAGCAUGUCACGGUGAAUACGUUCCCGGGUCUU